GGGAUGAUAAUGACAGUACCGGGAGAAUAAGCCCCGGCUAACUCCGUGCCAGCAGCCGCGGUAAUACGGAGGGGGCUAGCGUUGUUCGGAAUUACUGGGCGUAAAGCGCACGUAGGCGGUUACUCAAGUCAGAGGUGAAAGCCCGGGGCUCAACCCCGGAACUGCCUUUGAAACUAGGCAACUGGAAUCUUGGAGAGGCGAGUGGAAUUCCGAGUGUAGAGGUGAAAUUCGUAGAUAUUCGGAAGAACACCAGUGGCGAAGGCGACUCGCUGGACAAGUAUUGACGCUGA
rnacentral:rRNA from 1 species